CUAUUUAAGCUCACUUCUCCGUUUGUCCUUUGCCAGAUCGUCUCGUCUAUCGUGCCUUUCUAGCCUCCAUGUCCAUGUCCUGGAUUAGCUCCUUGUCUUGCUCCUGUUUUCCUAGUUACCCUAGUUUUUGCUGUAAUUUUGAGUUUACUUUUUCCUCCUUCAAGCGUCCUUGGUUAUCCUUCGUCUUCCUAAUUGCAAAAGGAGCUCACCCAAAGUCAAACCCGAUAAACAACAACAAUGCAGGGUUUUGGAAGACGACGGUGUCUGUUCGGGAACUGAUUCUUCCUCACCUCCCCAAACUCAGCGUAUAUUCUUUGAUUUUCCGGGAGACUCCUGAAAUUCAGCGCCUCUCCCGAAAACCUCCCAGGACAAAUUUUCUCCAGAAAAUCUCCGGAAAUUUAGGCGGACUUGGAGGCCACGCCCCCUCCAGCUCCAGACCUGACUCAAUGUUGUGACCCUCUUAAACAGGACAAUACUGUCAUCUACUGUACAUAGAAUAUAAUGUAAAUAUAUUCUACAUUUAAGUGCAGUCAAGGAACAUAUGCAUUAGGGAGUCUGUUCUGAAGCCCACAGUAAAGAGACAUAACUUCAUCACGUCGCCUGGUUAUUGACUCCAACCCAAAAUAUUACACCGUCGACGGGCAAAAUGAAGAAAUACGCUUGCAAGUUCCAGAACGAUUGGAAACAAGAAUUUCAGUUUAUCCAGGAGAGUUCGAAGGGGAAGGGAUAUGUUGCCUGUAAAUCUUGUAGAACAGACUUCUCUAUUGAACACGGCGGCCGAACGGAUAUACUCAGCCAUGAACGGUCAGUCAGCGAAGCACAAAGCGUCUGCAGCGCAGCAUCGUUCACAACCCAGUAUUACGGCCCACCUCGCAAAAUGGAGACCCGAUGGUGUAUCUUAUGCUGAGACAAAGAUGGCUAUGCUGAUAGCUGCAAGCAACGUCCCGUUCUCAUUUGCGGAUGUCUACAACAAAUCCGUGAAGGAUGUUCCUGGAUUCGGAGAUCGCUUGCCAAUACGCAAAUGGCAGAACAAAGGUUACUCAAAUAGUGA